rnacentral:rRNA from 1 species
ACGGAGGAUGCAAGCGUUAUCCGGAUUCAUUGGGUUUAAAGGGUGCGCAGGCGGAUUGGUAAGUCAGGGGUGAAAUCCCACAGCUCAACUGUGGACCUGCCCUUGAUACUGUCAGUCUAGAGUAUAGUUGAAGUUGUCGGAAUGUGUCAUGGAGAGGUGACAGGCGUAGAUUUGACACUGAACACCAAGCGCGAAGGCAGCUAAUUAAGAGAUAACUGACGCGCAGGCACGAAAGCAUGGGGAUCAAACAG